UCCGGUUUGUCACCGGCAGUCUCCUUAGAGUUCCCACCUUUACGUGCUGGCAACUAAGGACAAGGGUUGCGCUCGUUGCGGGACUUAACCCAACAUCUCACGACACGAGCUGACGACAGCCAUGCAGCACCUGUGUUCGAGUUCCCGAAGGCACCCUCUCAUCUCUGAAAGGUUCUCGACAUGUCAAGACCAGGUAAGGUUCUGCGCGUUGCAUCGAAUUAAACCACAUACUCCACCGCUUGUGCGGGCCCCCGUCAAUUCCUUUGAGUUUCACGCUUGCGCGCGUACUCCCCAGGCGGUCGACUUAACGCGUUAGCUUCGAUACUGAGUGCCAAGUUGCACCCAACAUCCAGUCGACAUCGUUUAGGGCGUGGACUAC
rnacentral:misc_RNA from 1 species